AUCGAACGCUGGCGGCAGGCCUAACACAUGCAAGUCGAGCGAGCGGCGGACGGGUGCGUAAUGUAUGGGGACUGCCCGUUAGCGGGGGAUCACUACUGGAAACGGUAGCUAAUACCGCAUACUAUCGGAUAACCCAUAUGGGAUUAGCUAGUAGGUGAGGUAAUGGCCCACCUAGGCGAUGAACCCUAGCUGGUCGGAGAGGUUGAUCAGCCACACUGGGACUGAGACACGGCCCAGACGCCUACGGAGGCAGCAGUGGGGAAUAUUGGACAAUGGGCGCAAGCCUGAUGCAGCCAGGCCGCGUGUAUGAAGAAGGCCCUAGGGUUGUAAAGUACUGUCAGUCGGGAGGCGUUACCGACAGAAGAAGCACCGGCUAACUCCGUGCCAGCAGCCGCGGUAAUAC
rnacentral:rRNA from 1 species